UGUUCAACAGUAGACUGAGACCAAUGGUGACGUGCAGUCAGCCAAUGGAGGUGUUUAACUUGAGACUUGACUUUCAGUACCAAGACAGUCUCUCCAGAGGAAGACAUGAAAAUGGAUUUUUUUCUCCUAAACCCAUGAUGAGUGUGGAAAAUCAGAGUAAAGACACGGCUUGGCUUGCAACACUGUGGUAUUUGGAUGGAAAGUCCCCAAAGCUGCAUAGCCUCAACAUCUGAGCUCUGACUGGUCAUCCCAGCCCGGUGACUCUGAUCUUGUGCAAUCCAUCACCCACAUUCCAAAGCUUUGAGAGGAUUAACCACUAACCACAAGCAGUGAAAUAAAUCACUUGCCAUAGGGUAGAAUGGUUUUGGAAAACGGGCAUACAUCAAAUUAUUUGGUUAACCCUUUCUCCUGACAAAUUUCUCCUUUGAGCAUCAGCUGCAGUCUUUGCUUUACUGUUAUCCCAGUCUCUCUUCCUCAUGAUGAAUAAAGAUAGGGCACUUG
rnacentral:lncRNA from 1 species